AGCGAACGCUGGCGGCAGGCUUAACACAUGCCAGUCGAGCGGACCUUUCGGGGUCAGCGGCGGACGGGUGAUUAACGCGUGGUAACGUGCCUUCCGGUUCGGAAUAACCCUGGGAAACUAGGGCUAAUACCGGAUACGCCCUUAUGGGGAAAGGUUUACUGCCGGAAGAUCGGCCCGCGUCUGAUUAGCUAGUUGGUGGGGUAACGGCCUACCAAGGCGACGAUCAGUAGCUGGUCUGAGAGGAUGAUCAGCCACACUGGGACUGCGACACGGCCCAGACUCCUACGGGAGGCAGCAGUGGGGAAUAUUGGACAAGGGGCGCAAGCCUGAUACCGCCAUGCCGCGUGAGUGAUGAAGGCCUUAGGGUUGUAAAGCUCUUUUAUACGGGACGAUAAUGACGGUACCGGAGAAAUAAGCCCCGACUAACUUCGUG
rnacentral:rRNA from 1 species